CCUACGGGAGGCAGCAGUGGGGAAUAUUGGACAAUGGGGGGAACCCUGAUCCAGCGACGCCGCGUGAGUGCAGAAGUAUUUCGGUAUGUAAAGCUCUAUCAGCAGGGAAGAAAGAAAUGACGGUACCUGACUAAGAAGCCCCGGCUAACUACGUGCCAGCAGCCGCGGUAAUACGUAGGGGGCAAGCUUUAUCCGGAUUUACUGGGUGUAAAGGGAGCGUAGACGGCGAUGCAAGUCUGAAGUGAAAGGCGGGGGCACAACCCCCGGACUGCUUUGGAAACUGUAUGGCUGGAGUGCAGGAGAGGUAAGUGGAAUUGCUAGUGUAGCGGUGAAAUGCGUAGAUAUUAGGAGGAACACCAGUGGCGAAGGCGGCUUACUGGACUGUAACUGACGUUGAGGCUCGAAAGCGUGGGGAGCAAACAGGAUUAGAUACCCUGGUAGUC
rnacentral:rRNA from 1 species